ACUCCUACGGGAGGCAGCAGUGGGAAUAUUGGACAAUGGGGGAAACCCUGAUCCAGCCAUGCCGCGUGUGUGAAGAAGGCCUUCUGGGUUGUAAAGCACUUUCAGUUGGGGAGGAAAGGUUGUUGGUUAAUACCUAACAGCUGUGACGUUACCCACAGAAGAAGCACCGGCUAACUCCGUGCCAGCAGCCGCGGUAAUACGGAGGGUGCAAGCGUUAAUCGGAAUUACUGGGCGUAAAGCGUGCGCAGGCGGUCUGUUAAGCGAGAUGUGAAAGCCCCGGGCUCAACCUGGGAACUGCAUUUCGAACUGGCAGACUAGAGUCUUGUAGAGGGGGUAGAAUUCCAGGUGUAGCGGUGAAAUUGCGU
rnacentral:rRNA from 1 species